AACCAAGAAGAUGCACACGAUCACAAAGGCAGUGCUCGAUAGAAUCACCCAGAGGGAAGUGAGACUGGUUGAGUUGGUCUCAGCUAGCGCGAUGGCCAAGGCUAAGAGCACCCAAGCACAGAUGUCAUUGACUAGUGCUGAUGACAUGGCAAUCCGCCCUAACUCUGUAUUGAUGAGCUUGAGCUCGGCAAGAACUCGAGCUAGCACAGGGAAGGCAGUGACAGCGAGAGCAACACCUAGGAAGAGCACAAAAGUUCCGUGGUGGGUGCCGUCAUCUUUGUGUUGCAUUAAGAGGGAGAAGGUGCAUCCAAUGACAAAGGGGGUGAAUAAUCGCGGGUUAUUUUCAAUGGAGAGCAUGCUAUAUUUCCUUUUAGCAAUCAUCAUUUGAAGAUCAGAGCAAGCGAUACAGGAUCCCUACAAGAGUCGUUAAAGGAAACGAUUAUGAAAAUGUACUUACAAGGAUUUCAGCGAUGACUCGGGGUUGGCGAAGUGGCUUGAGGACG